CUGACAUUAGCACCCCUCUUUCCCCCCCCCCGCACAGCAAGUAUGAGACUCCCAGGAGCAGCUUCAAGGCUGAGGGUAGGAGCAGCAUAUGGCAGUGGGGGGAGGGAGGGCUGAACUGACCGGCAAUUGGUAGCCUAUUGGGCGGCUGCUGCACAGGGAACUUAGGAGAGUGGGGAGCUGAUGGGGGGCUGCUGGUUCACCCUGGUGCCAAGCCCCCACCAGCUAGCUCCAGCGGCUGCUGUUUCUGCAAGCAGUGGACAAAGCAGGUGGCUGCCAAACAACGUUAUAAGGGAGCAUUGCACAACUUUAAAUGAGCAUGUUCUCUAAUUGAUCAGCGAUGUAACAACGAAACAUCAUUAACUGUGAUGAUGUUAAGUGAUGAGUUACAAUAUAUAUCAUGGACAAAACGAAAUAUCAAAUAA